GCUCAAUAUCCGAGAUCGUUGCCUCUCUCGGGGGAAAGAGUUAAUCGCCAUUAGAGCGGCCCGCGUCUGAUUAGCUAGUUGGUGAGGUAAAGGCUCACCAAGGCGACGAUCAGUAGCUGGUCUGAGAGGAUGAUCAGCCACAUUGGGACUGAGACACGGCCCAAACACCUACGGGAGGCAGCAGUGGGGAAUCUUGCGCAAUGGGCGAAAGCCUGACGCAGCCACGCCGCGUGAAUGAUGAAGGUCUUAGGAUUGUAAAAUUCUCUCACCGAGGACGAUAAUGACGGUACCCGGAGAAGAAGCCCCGGCUAACUUCGUGCAC
rnacentral:rRNA from 1 species